UACGUAGGGUGCAAGCGUUGUCCGGAAUUAUUGGGCGUAAAGAGCUCGUAGGCGGUCUGUCGCGUCGGCUGUGAAAACCCGAGGCUCAACCUCGGGCCUGCAGUCGAUACGGGCAAACUAGAGUACUGCAGGGGAGACUGGAAUUCCUGGUGUAGCGGUGAAAUGCGCAGAUAUCAGGAGGAACACCGGUGGCGAAGGCGGGUCUCUGGGCAGUAACUGACGCUGGAGGAGCCGAAAGCGUGGGGAGCGAACAGG
rnacentral:rRNA from 1 species